rnacentral:rRNA from 1 species
CGCGGCCUAUCAGCUUGUUGGUGAGGUAACGGCCCACCAAGGCAUCGACGGGUAGCUGGUCUGAGAGGAUGAUCAGCCACACUGGGACUGAGACACGGCCCAGACUCCUACGGGAGGCAGCAGUAGGGAAUCUUGCGCAAUGGGCGAAAGCCUGACGCAGCAACGCCGCGUGGGGGAUGAAUGCCUUCGGGUUGUAAACCCCUUUCAGCAGGGACGAAAAUGACGGUACCUGCAGAAGAAGCUCCGGCCAACUACGUGCCAGCAGCCGCGGUAAUACGUAGGGAGCGAGCGUUGUCCGGAAUUAUUGGGCGUAAAGAGCUCGUAGGCGGUUCAGUAAGUCGGGUGUGAAAACUCAAGGCUCAACCUUGAGACGCCACUCGAUACUGCUGUGACUUGAGUCCGGUAGAGGAGUGUGGAAUUCCUGGUGUAGCGGUGAAAUGCGCAGAUAUCAGGAGGAACACCAGCGGCGAAGGCGGCACUCUGGGCCGGUACUGACGCUGAGGAGCGAAAGCAUGGGGAGCAAACAGGAUUAGAUACCCUGGUAGUCCAUGCCGUAAACGUUGGGCACUAGGUAUG